GACGAACGCUGGCGGCGUGCUUAACACAUGCAAGUCGAGCGGCGCGGAGAACGGGUGAGUAACGCGUGAAUAACUGCCCCCCUCUCUGGGACAACAGUUGGCAACGGCUGCUAAUACCGGCUAGUUGGGGAUGACUCGCCUCCUAUCAGCUUGUUGGGGGGGUAGGGGCCUACCAAGGCGACGACGGGUAGCCGGCCUGGGAGGGCCCCCGGCCACAUUGGGCUAAGAUACGGCCCAAACUCCUACGUGAGGCAGCAGUCGGGAAUAUUGCACAAUGGGGGAGACCCUGAUGCAGCAACGCCGCGUGCGGGAUGACGGCCUUCGGGUUGUAAACCGCUUUCAGCCAUGACGCGGUAGUGGCAGAAGAAGCACCGGCUAACUACGUGCCAGCAGCCGCGGUAAUUC
rnacentral:rRNA from 1 species